rnacentral:rRNA from 1 species
UACGUAUGGUGCAAGCGUUAUCCGGAUUUACUGGGUGUAAAGGGAGCGUAGGCGGCGCGUUAAGUCUGAUGUGAAAACCCGAGGCUCAACCACGGGAGUGCAUUGGAAACUGGCGGGCUGGAGUGCCGGAGAGGUAAGCGGAAUUCCUAGUGUAGCGGUGAAAUGCGUAGAUAUUAGGAGGAACACCGGUGGCGAAGGCGGCUUACUGGACGGCAACUGACGCUGAGGCUCGAAAGCGUGGGGAGCAAACAGG